AGUGAACGCUGGCGGUAGGCCUAACACAUGCAAGUCGAACGGCAGCACAGUAAGAGCUUGCUCUUACGGGUUGCGAGUGGCGGACGGGUGAGGAAUACAUCGGACUCUACUUUUUCGUGGGGGAUAACGUAGGGAAACUUACGCUAAUACCGCAUACGACCUACGGGUGAAAGCAGGGGAUCUUCGGACCUUGCGCGAUUGAAUGAGCCGAUGUCGGAUUAGCUAGUUGGCGGGGUAAAGGCCCACCAAGGCGACGAUCCGUAGCUGGUCUGAGAGGAGGAUCAGCGACACUGGAACUGAGACACGGUCCAGACUCCUACGGGAGGCAGCAGUGGGGAAUAUUGGACAAUGGGCGCAAGCCUGAUCCAGCCAUACCGCGUGGGUGAAGAAGGCCUUCGGGUUGUAAAGCCCUUUUGUUGGGAAAGAAAAGCAGCAGGUUAAUACCCCGCUGUUCUGACGGUACCCAAAGAAUAAGCACCGGCUAACUUCGUG
rnacentral:rRNA from 1 species